ACCCUUCCGUCAUUGUAUUGUAAUGAAUCUGGCCUUUGACUGACAAUGUCUUCACAAUCAUAACUAAGCUGGCACGCAUCAUAGUCUCUUGAUGGGUGGAAAGAAGACGAAUGCCUCUGGUGAAAUGGAUUCCCGGAGACUUCUGAAGGUGAUGUGUUUAGAAGUUCUUCUGAAGGUGAUGUGUUUAGAAGUUCUUCUGAAGGUGAAGGAGAGUCGAGCAAAUACUUGGGAUCAUAACUGUCUGUGCUGCUAGACUCGGUUGCAUACAUAAUUCCAUGUGCAUUUUUGGUGAACAUGGAUGUUGACAAGCCAGAGUUGUCCUUGUGAUCAUUUGGAAAGUAGAGUUUCCCAUUUCCAAUAGUUCUAACAGAUCUAACUAAAGACAUGGUUCACUUCUUAUUCUUAUUCUCAAAAUAAAGUUGCUUGAAUUUUGCCCUUACAAAAACUGCUACUCAAUUGCGGGAUCCUUGUAGCUGAAUCUCGUAUAUGGGAAAUGUUCUCGCAGCUACUG
rnacentral:lncRNA from 1 species